AACGAACGCUGGCGGCAUGCCUAACACAUGCCAGUCGAACGAGACCUUCGGGUCUAGUGGCGCACGGGUGCGUAACGCGUGGGAACCUGCCCUUAGGUUCGGAAUAACUCCCCGAAAGGGGUGCUAAUACCGGAUAAUGUCUUCGGACCAAAGAUUUAUCGCCUUUGGAUGGGCCCGCGUUGGAUUAGCUAGUUGGUAGGGUAAAAGCCUACCAAGGCGACGAUCCAUAGCUGGUCUAAGAGGAUGAUCAGCCACACUGGGACUGAGACACGGCCCAGACUCCUACGGGAGGCAGCAGUGGGGAAUAUUGGACAAUGGGCGAAAGCCUGAUCCAGCAAUGCCGCGUGAGUGAUGAAGGCCUUAGGGUUGUAAAGCUCUUUUACCCGGGAUGAUAAUGACAGUACCGGGAGAAUAAGCUCCGGCUAACUCCGUG
rnacentral:rRNA from 1 species